GGGCUCGUGGUUUAGUGGUAUAAUACUCCCUUAGCAUCUCGAAAUCUUGCAUGGGAGUGGUCCGGGGUUCGAUUCCCCGCGAGUCCA